UGCGCAGGCGGUUAUACAAGACAGGCGUGAAAUCCCCGGGCUUAACCUGGGAAUGGCGUCUGUGACUGUAUGACUAGAGUGUGUCAGAGGGGGGUAGAAUUCCACGUGUAGCAGUGAAAUGCGUAGAUAUGUGGAGGAAUACCAAUGGCGAAGGCAGCCCCCUGGGAUAACACUGACGCUCAUGCACGAAAGCGUGGGGAGCAAACA
rnacentral:rRNA from 1 species